GAUGAACGCUGACAGAAUGCUUAACACAUGCAAGUCAACUUGAACUUCGGUUUGGGUGGCGGACGGGUGAGUAACGCGUAAAGAACUUGCCUCACAGUUAGGGACAACAUUUGGAAACGAAUGCUAAUACCUGAUAUUAUGAUUUUAGGGCAUCCUAGAAUUAUGAAAGCUAUAUGCGCUGUGAGAGAGCUUUGCGUCCCAUUAGCUAGUUGGAGAGGUAACGGCUCACCAAGGCGAUGAUGGGUAGCCGGCCUGAGAGGGUGAACGGCCACAAGGGGACUGAGACACGGCCCUUACUCCUACGGGAGGCAGCAGUGGGGAAUAUUGGACAAUGGACCAAGAGUCUGAUCCAGCAAUUCUGUGUGCACGAUGAAGUUUUUCGGAAUGUAAAGUGCUUUCAGUUGGGAAGAAAAAAAUGACGGUACCAACAGAAGAAGUGACGGCUAAAUACGUGCCAGCAGCCGCGGUAAUACGUAUGUCACAAGCGUUAUCCGGAUUUAUUGGGCGUAAAGCGCGUCUAGGUGGUUAUGUAAGUCUGAUGUGAAAAUGCAGGGCUCAACUCUGUAUUGCGUUGGAAACUGUGUAACUAGAGUACUGGAGAGGUAAGCGGAACUACAAGUGUAGAGGUGAAAUUCGUAGAUAUUUGUAGGAAUGCCGAUGGGGAAGCCAGCUUACUGGACAGAUACUGACGCUAAAGCGCGAAAGCGUGGGUAGCAAACAGG
rnacentral:rRNA from 1 species